GACGAACGCUGGCGGCGUGCUUAACACAUGCAAGUCGAACGCGCCUGUCCUCUGGGUUUCUGGGGGGUGGGUGAGUGGCGAACGGGUGAGUAACACGUGAGUAACCUGCCCCCUUCUUCGGGAUAACGGUCUGAAAGGGCUGCUAAUACCGGGUAUUCACCGGUCUCCGCAUGGGGUCUGGUGGAAAGGUUUUUUUCUGGUGGGGGAUGGGCUCGCGGCCUAUCAGCUUGUUGGUGGGGUGAUGGCCCACCAAGGCUUUGACGGGUAGCCGGCCUGAGAGGGUGACCGGUCACAUUGGGACUGAGAUACGGCCCAGACUCCUACGGGAGGCAGCAGUGGGGAAUAUUGCACAAUGGGCGCAAGCCUGAUGCAGCGACGCCGCGUGAGGGAUGGAGGCCUUCGGGUUGUGAACCUCUUUCGCCCGUGGUCAAGCCGCGACGUGGGUCGUGGUGAGGGUAGUGGGUAAAGAAGCGCCGGCUAACUACGUG
rnacentral:rRNA from 1 species